UGCAGGGAACAGAACCAUCAGGACAGGGGCAAAAAACAGGUUUUGUUCAGGUUUAGCACAAGCUGUGAUGAAUAUCUUCAAGCCUCUGCUUCCUGCUGUGGAAUUGUUGCCAAAGGACACAUUCCCAGAUGGGAUUACUGAGUCAGAGGAAGUGGACAUUGAGUGGCUCUCAACAGACAGGCUGUGUUGCUCUCACAGUGCCCAGGUACCACCAGCAAUGUAUACACAUACAGGAAGCGCCGGCUUCCCUGUUGUCUUGUUGCUGUGGCGUGUUGGGGUCUCUAAGACCACCCUGGGUUUGUUGAUUGGCUAGGAGAACUCGCAGAACUCAGCAUACAGUGAUACUCGAGGCUAUGAUGUAUUACGACAACUGGAAAUGAAGCAAAUUCAGCAAAGGAAAAAGGCACAUGGGUCAAGUCCAGAGGAAAUGGAGUGUGAGGGUCCAAGACCCUCUCACAUGCUGGACGCGCCCACUUCCCCCAGAAGUGUGUUGGGACAACACGUGUGGAAUGUCAUUUGUCAGGGACACUCACUAGAGAUUUGGCACCGAGGGUUUUACUGCAGGCUAGUCACAAAGGCCCCCUCUGCCUAGCAUGUACCAAAAUUCUGGACUCCCAGUACGAAGACAUAAACCACAGUGUUUACACAGUUUAGGGGCAGUGAGCCAUUCAUAUCAGGGAAGGGCGGGAACCCUCCCCAAAUCCAAUUUCCCAGAUACGAACCAAGGGCCAACCUUGCAAGCAGUCCUUGCUAAAGAUAACAUUGCUAUAAUUUGUAUUUCUUUCAUUUUUCUUUUGAGAGUAAAUCAUUUC
rnacentral:lncRNA from 10 species